rnacentral:misc_RNA from 1 species
ACUAUAAAUGGUAAUUCCUUUACUCUGACUAAAUAUCUUAGCAAAAACUAAUUCUGAUUCUACAAAUUUGCAUCAAAAUUGCAUCAAUCUCUUGUUCCUCUCAAAGAUUUUUGAAAUUAACACUGUUCAAAUUGUCAUAACAUAUUUUAUUCGAUCUUUUAGUUGAUGUUCUGCCUAAAAUAAAAUCUAGAUACUAAUAAUAUUUGGAUUUCCUUGUCUUAGGGCCACAAAAAAUGGAUUACCGG